rnacentral:rRNA from 1 species
UAGGGAAUCUUCGGCAAUGGACGGAAGUCUGACCGAGCAACGCCGCGUAAGUGAAGAAGGUUUUCGGAUCGUAAAGCUCUGUUGUAAGAGAAGAACGAGUGUGAGAGUGGAAAGUUCACACUGUGACGGUAUCUUACCAGAAAGGGACGGCUAACUACGUGCCAGCAGCCGCGGUAAUACGUAGGUCCCGAGCGUUGUCCGGAUUUAUUGGGCGUAAAGCGAGCGCAGGCGGUUAGAUAAGUCUGAAGUUAAAGGCUGUGGCUUAACCAUAGUACGCUUUGGAAACUGUUUAACUUGAGUGCAAGAGGGGAGAGUGGAAUUCCAUGUGUAGCGGUGAAAUGCGUAGAUAUAUGGAGGAACACCGGUGGCGAAAGCGGCUCUCUGGCUUGUAACUGACGCUGAGGCUCGAAAGCGUGGGGAGCAAACAGGAUUAGAUACCCUGGUAGUCCACGCCGUAAACGAUGAGUGCUAGGUGUUAGACCCUUUCCGGGGUUUAGUGCCGCAGCUAACGCAUUAAGCACUCCGCCUGGGGAGUACGACCGCAAGGUUG